rnacentral:ncRNA from 1 species
AAAGCCGGUUAGUGAUGACCGGUUGAACGGUACAGGAGUCAGCCGAGGCCAUAGUAGUGGCAACACGAAGGGGC